AGAUUUGUGAGGUUUUGGUUACUUUAGAUUACUUUCAGACAAGCACACAGUUGUUUUUCUGUUCAGUACCGAACCUGCCAUGUGAAGAGGUCAAUUUCUAAAUGUACUGCAUUCGAUUUCCUUGGUACAGGGAACAAAGAUCUGAGUCACUGGAUUCUCUGGAGAGGUGUCUGUGAAGUUUAACACACCCUCAGGGAAACUGCAAAAUCCACAUGUCCCUUUUCACCACACUGAGAAAUUCCACACCAGUAGUACCAUGACAGGGCUGCAGCCAUCUCUAUGGAAUGCUUGUUUUCUGAGACUCACAGGAAAGUUCCUCCUCUCCCAGGCACACUUCAUCUUGCAUACAGGGGAAAUGAAGCCAGGACCAUGUGGGCUCCAACAUUAUCUCUCUGGUCUGACACCUGAUCUGGAUAAUUAGAAGCCUGAGACUCACCAAAGCAAAGAGACCACCCUGGGAAAAUUAUAUGGUUAUCUCAAUUUGUAUUUUGAGCUUGCAUGUGCUAUCAAAUAAAAAGGAACUCCUCGGGAGGACUCUAACUGGCACACUUACACUAUAGUAGCAUUUAAAGUUCAGCUUUCUUUGUUUUUAUUUUUAAAUUUGCCUUCCUUUGGGGGAUUCGAUUUACACGAAACCCGAAAAAGACAAGGCUGCCAUUGUAUUGCUCUGUUAUUGCCAUAUAAUGCCAUCCAUCACAGAUUUAAAAGGUGAUGGUAUGAUGUUUCUCUGUUUGGGUGUAAUGAUAUUCAAUAUGCUUUUUGGAGAGCUCUCUGGUUAAAAUCAGGGAAACCAGAGCUUUCCUUCUGACUUUUCUCAUGUCCCCUGUAGAAUUUUGAUAGAGUGGGAAAAUUGCUUCCAAGUCUCUCAGCUCUUCUUAAGACAGAUAAAGGGAUGUGGAAUAUCCAGUUGCCGGUUCUUGAAGAACAAGAAAUCAUUUAAAAUGUGACACAGUUUGAGUCUCUUAUUUAAAUUCUGAUGUUCUGUAAGUAAAUUUUGAGUGCCCUGAAAUCAGUGAAGUGGAACUUGAGAAAAGUGACUGAAGAAAAGUUUUAGGGAUGACAUUACUGUUCUCUAAAGAGAUGACUUCAUUUCAACUACUUUCUCAGCCCUGCCACUGAGUGUGGAGGUGCUGCUGCCCACAAAGAGAGCACCUGAGGUGCCAGCCUGAGGUUGGCAUCUUAUAGGAGAUUUUAUAUCCUGCUCUGGCUGACUUUUGCCCUCCGUACUUUAUAAACUGACCACAGCUUGCAGGCAGAAAAUGGCCUGCAGAUUGUAAGGCUGCAGUUAAUAGAUUUAGCCCACUUUUUAUGAAAGAAAAUAUAAUGCAGAAUUCAGUAAAAAGAUAGGAAAAUUGCUUUGCUUCUUGUGCUUUCCUUUAUAAAACUUACAUAGUAAUGAUGCCAUAAGCAUCAUACUAAAGAGCUUGGGACAUAGACUGCAAGAUUUAUUUGAGGUUUUUGUGUCUGGGCUUGCUCUGCAUCUGCCUGAUCCAUCUGCCUUGGUCUGGUCUUGCCCUUGAGUGGUCUGGAUCACAGAACCAGAAAAAUAUCUCUUCCCUUAGGCUGUCAGGAGAUUCUUUAUUGUGCAGCAAAUGUCCCUUCCCUCCCUGUCCCCUCAGUAUCUGAGCCAAUAGUUUGAGAAUAAAAACUACCACAAUGUCUGCUAUUUCAUAGCUGGCUUGUGUAUUGGAAUCUCACCUUUCAGCAUGAUCUUUAUAUGUGUUAAAUGAUUGAAAACUCUUCACAGAAAAGCCUGUGGUAUGCAUAUCUCAGUCAUGAUACACAAGCCCAUCACCAUUUCUUUCCAUUAGCUAAUGGAAUUGUAAGGAAGGGAGAUAAUAAACCCCACUGAAAAUAGAAACUUGCCCCACAUUCUGAGGCAAAAUGAGAAGGAGCUAUUGAAAAAUAGCAUGACAAAAAAUGUAACAGUUGCAUACAUUUACAAAUCAGCAGUGUCACAGCACUAAAAGCUGCUCAUCUUAAUAAUGAUCAUCUUAAUGAUGUCUUGAAAACAUACAGCAAUUACUCAGGAUAGUCUUGAGAUGCACUUCUUUCAAAAGAUCAGGCUUAUGAUCAGAGUUUACCUCACAGAGCCACAUUUUUUCAUUAAAAAUGAUUACUUGAGCAUGGCUUUAAUAUAUUUUUAGGAAAAAUGAAAACAGAAGUUAAACCUUCUUGCCUCUAUGGGCUUCAGAAGUUACUUUUUAUGUCACUCUUGCAUAAGCUAAAGUGCUGGAAAGGAAUUUGAAACGGUGGGUUUUACACGGUUCAGAGUUUUUCCAAGUAUUAAUAUUUAUUUAAAGGAAAUUCAGUACCUAGCUGGAAUACCAAAUCUGUUUAACAAUGCAAAACUGUGGCUUUGCACCCUGUUCUCUGGAGCAAGUGAAGGCUUCCUACCAAAUGAAGCAGAAGCUGAUUUUCUUUUCAAACUCUGGAGUACAGGCAAGUAUAUUUAAUUUAUACUUCUUACCA